rnacentral:lncRNA from 1 species
UGGAAUUCUAGGAUUACAUAUGCAUAUGAUUAGUUGUUCAUUCAUUUAUUAAUUUAUUCACUCAAUCACCUGUAUACCAAAUAUGUAUUAAGUAUCUGUUAUGUGCCAGGAACCUGUUCCAGGUUCAGAGAAUACAGUGAAUAAACAGACUGAACCCUGCUCUCAAUGAACAUCUUCAUGUUACUUGAUAUGAGUUCAUUCCUUGAAAACAUCAAUAAGAUGCUGGAGUUUAAUCAACCACAGCAGACUGUGAGGUGGAAGCCACUUGGUGAUUGUGAGCCAGCACCAAGAUCGAAGGCAUUUGGAUCCCUGGUGAUCACAGACCCAGCAUGUCAUCUCUGCAAAGGUCUUUGAGCAGGAGCCCAAGGAAG